UCGGGUAAGUUCCGACCUGCACGAAUGGCGUAAUGAUGGCCAGGCUGUCUCCACCCGAGACUCAGUGAAAUUGAACUCGCUGUGAAGAUGCAGUGUACCCGCGGCAAGACGGAAAGACCCCGUGAACCUUUACUAUAGCUUGACACUGAACAUUGAGCCUUGAUGUGUAGGAUAGGGGGGAGGCUUUGAAGUGUGGACGCCAGUCUGCAUGGAGCCGACCUUGAAAUACCACCCUUUAAUGUUUGAUGUUCUAACGUUGACCCGUAAUCCGGGUUGCGGACAGUGUCUGGUGGGUAGUUUGACUGGGGCGGUCUCCUCCUAAAGAGUAACGGAGGAGCACGAAGGUUGGCUAA
rnacentral:rRNA from 1 species